rnacentral:rRNA from 1 species
AGAGUUUGAUCCUGGCUCAGGACGAACGCUGGCGGUGUGCUUCACACAUGCAAGUCGAGCGAAUGAAGAAGGUAGCUUGCUACUUUUGGAUUUAGCGGCGGACGGGUGAGUAAUAUAUAGGAAUCUGCCCUAGAGCGGGGAACAACAGACCGAAAGGUUUGCUAAUACCCCAUAGGUACGCAGUCUUCGGAUUGUUUAUUAAAGGAGUAAUCCACUCUAGGAUGAGCCUGUAUCCGAUUAGCUAGUUGGCGGGGUAAAGGCCCACCAAGGCUACGAUCGGUAGUUGGUCUGAGAGGAUGAUCAGCCACAAUGGGACUGAGACACGGCCCAUACUCCUACGGGAGGCAGCAGUGGGGAAUUUUACACAAUGGGGGAAACCCUGAUGUAGCGACACCGCGUGAACGAAGAAGCCUUUUGGGGUGUAAAGUUCUGUCGGCUGGAACGAAAAAAAUGACGGUACCAGCAAAGGAAGCAUCGGCUAACUACGUGCCAGCAGCCGCGGUAAGACGUAGGAUGCAAGCGUUGUCCGGAUUUAUUGGGCGUAAAGAGUUCGUAGGCGGUUAUUUAAGUCUGGUGUUAAAUACUGUGGCCCAACCACAGAACUGCAUUGGAUACUGGAUGACUUGAGUGCGGUAGAGGCGAGUGGAAUUCCCAGUGUAGCGGUGAAAUGCGUAGA